AGAGAGAGACAGGCCUUCCGUAUCCUUCUUAAGCCCUUAGCCCUCUUCAGCUGUUCCUCAGCUGGAUCUUUCAUCCCCCCACACAUAGGCUUUGUGUUUUUCCAGAUCUGAGACUGAUCUUGAGUGGCAGCAGAAGGCCCUCAAGCAGCUUAAUAUUGAUGAAAUUCCUGAUUUUGUUGCUCUGAGAUAUUGUGGUGCCUUCACUUCUACUUUUGGGUGUCUUUGUGGUGAUUUAAAUCGUGUAUUUCAAACCUCACCUGGACUAGCCGGUCCCAGUGAAAGCUUCUGCAAUUCUGUACCAUUCCCCAAGUGGAAUCUCAUAUUCUUACUUCGUUGACUCAUUGAUUCUGUUCUGAUUCUCAGUCUCCAGUGCUUAUGCAUCUUCAGGAUGCUGACUCCAGACUGAUAAAGACUGUAAGGGAAUCUUUAUGCAGAUCAGAAAAAGGAGCAUCUUCUGGGUGUUGGCUAUAUCCUGUGCACAUGGUUCCAGUCUCUUCUAAUCCAACACAUUUGGCAUACAACUGCCAGAUUAAUCUUCUGCAAACCUCCCUCUCAUCACAUCACUUGUGACUCAAGUAUCUCAAUGUGUCCUUUCUUCUUGAAGAAAAAUUCCAGAACCUGAGACUCUUGUCAUUACCUGUUUCCACUGUCGGAUGUUAUGUAGGAUGAGACACACCAUUCCUUUGGGCCUUCAUCCCUGAUGCUUUGUAUUGAGUUUCGGACACCUGCCAGGUCUUCUAGUCUCUUUAGUGAAGACUGUAGAGUGAGGAGCACUUGCAUUUCAUUCCUUCUGCAAGUAAGUAGGGGUAAAUUAUAAAUGAGCAAAUACAUGAUAUGGAAUAGAAUUAAAAAAAAACAACUCAAAGUGGGUAAACACAACUUUAGAUGCACAACUUUAGUUGAAGAAAUGAACACAAUGCGACAGAGUCCAAACGGGAGCCGGAAUACAUGUGAUACCUAAAUUUUGU
rnacentral:lncRNA from 1 species